UGCUGCGGUGAAUACGUUCCCGGGUCUUGUACACACCGCCCGUCAAACCACGAAAGUCACCAACACCCGAAGUCUGAAUUUAUUUCGGCCUAAGGUGGGGGGGAUGAGUUGGGGUU
rnacentral:rRNA from 1 species